rnacentral:rRNA from 1 species
AAUCCGGUUGAUCCUGCCGGACCUGACUGCUAUCGGAUUGAUACUAAGCCAUGCGAGUCAUUGUAGCAAUACAAGGCAGACGGCUCAGUAACGCGUAGUCAACCUAACCUAUGGACGGGAAUAACCUCGGGAAACUGAGAAUAAUGCCCGAUAGAACACUAUAUCUGGAAUGGUUUGUGUUCCAAAUGAUUUAUCGCCGUAGGAUGGGACUGCGGCCUAUCAGUUUGUUGGUGAGGUAAUGGCCCACCAAGACUAUUACAGGUACGGGCUCUGAGAGGAGUAGCCCGG